rnacentral:rRNA from 1 species
CGGUAAUACGUAGGGUGCAAGCGUUAAUCGGAAUUACUGGGCGUAAAGCGUGCGCAGGCGGUUUUGUAAGACAGUCGUGAAAUCCCCGGGCUCAACCUGGGAAUUGCGAUUGUGACUGCAAAGCUGGAGUGCGGCAGAGGGGGAUGGAAUUCCGCGUGUAGCAGUGAAAUGCGUAGAUAUGCGGAGGAACACCGAUGGCGAAGGCAAUCCCCUGGGCCUGCACUGACGCUCAUGCACGAAAGCGUGGGGAGCAAACAGGAUUAGAUACCCUGGUAGUCCACGCCCUAAACGAUGUCAACUGGUUGUUGGGUCUCUUCUGACUCAGUAACGAAGCUAACGCGUGAAGUUGACCGCCUGGGGAGUACGGCCGCAAGGUUGAA